CGAAGGUGGGACAGAUGAUUGGGGUGAAGUCGUAACAAGGUAGCCGUAUCGGAAGGUGCGGCUGGAUCACCUCCUUUCUAAGGA
rnacentral:rRNA from 4 species